rnacentral:lncRNA from 1 species
UAUAUUAUAUAGAUAUAGGAAGAUGUGGUGUGAGUGCCAAUGAGACAACUCUCCAUCCAAAUAACAAUUUAAAAAAGUAAACCAUUAUAGGUCAAUGUACGGCCUUCAACACGGAGCCUUGGCUCACACCGAACAACAAACUAUAAAGGGCCCCAAAAUUACUAGUGUAAAACCAUUCAAACGGGAAAACCAACAGUCUUAUCUAUAAAAAAUAAAGA